UUACACGCUGAUUGGCUCUGGAAUAGUUUCGCUUUCAAAGAUUGACAGCUCGGGAGGCGAAUGAGCAACCGAGACAGUGUUUCAAUGACUUUUCAAGAGCCCAACCUUUCUGAGGAGAUUUAUACAUGAUAAUUUAUCCCCGUAUUUAUUAUUUAUUGAUAAAUAAUUAAAAGUCCCAUGAUAUAUUUAUAAAAACACUGGGGACUGGAGGAGGUUGAGGUGCCUAAAAGCUAUGUUGGUUUGUGGAUUGGGACCAAACUUGGUCCACAGACCCUUUAUUGCCCACCAGAGUGGAAAUCAUCUCUCGGAUGGAUGGCAAGCUAUUUAACCUCAGAAGACAAAGCCAAAACCAAGCCGCCCCGAGUCCCUGUCGGGAGAUGGUGGCAAGAUAGAAGAAUAAAGUUACUUACUUACUAAGUUACGUACAAACCACUCUAAACACCAUUGAAGAAGCAUACAAGAAGCUUGGCCUCUCAUUGAACAUCAAACUGGAGGUCAGCUGUGACCAGCAGUGCUGUGGAAUUUGGAGAGGAAUGGAGGGUGAAAAGGAGAAACACGCCAAAAGGAAGAAGAUGCGUCAAGCCAACCCUGAUCAAGACUGCCUUCCACCUGGAAACCGAUGUCCUCACUGUGGAACAACAUGCGGGUCAAGAAUAGGGCUCCACAGUUACCUACGUAUCCACCGUUAAGACACUGCACUUGGAAGGCCAUCAGAAUAAUUGUAUAGACAUUUCUCUUAUAUACAAUUAUUAAAACAGUUCAGUUAAAAUAAGUGACAAUAAAAAGACACUUUUAAUUUCCAUCUAAUUAUACAUAGGACAAAAAAAUCCUCCCCCCAAAACUCCGGGAAAACAUAUCUGGAGUGUAAAACUAGUACAAAAAUUAUAUUACUAUAUAUCGGUCUCUCCCGAAUGGCACAAUCGCCAGUUGCUUUGAAGAUUUGUCAUUUUUAUAUAAAAAUAAUAAUAAUAAUGACAACGAUAAAAGAAAACCGGGAUAUGCUACAAAAGAGCCUGAGGAGUUACAAAAGCUUGUGAAUAAUUUUACAAAUGACUUAUGCAUAUAAACAACCAAAGUUGAGGGACGGCGGUGGAAGUCAUUGUCAUGCUCUGUUUGGAAGCUUCCAGAAACAUCUGGGUGCCAGCUGUUGGAGGAAAAAGAGAGACGUGGUUCCAGAUGGAGGCGAAAAUAACAGUUGUUGCAUUGUUUGGAGGAUCUGGAAUCAGGUUGGUCUUGCUGGCCAAAGGGAGCUUCUCUUAAAGACUAGUCCGGGUGAAAAAUACAGCCUGGUCCAUUUGGGGUAAGUAUUCUGAGAAGUCAAAAAACUGUGUCUUAAAUUGAGAAAGUUCUUCUUUUGUAUUGAUUUAUGAUCUGAUCACAGCAGCGUAAUCUCGCUCGGUGGGAGCGUAAGUCUCUUUUCCCUUGCGUGCAGCAAGCUCUCCAUGUGUGUGGCGAUUACCCGGCACAGCUCCAGACCCUGGGAAGGAGAGAAAGAAAGAAAGAAAGGAAGAAAGAAAGAAAGAAAGAAAGA